rnacentral:rRNA from 1 species
GACGAACGCUGGCGGCGUGCUUAACACAUGCAAGUCGAACGGAAAGGCCCUGCUUUUGUGGGGCGCUCGAGUGGCGAACGGGUGAGUAACACGUGAGUACCCCGCCCUUGUUUGGGAGAUAACUUCAGGAAACUGGGGAUUAUACCGGAGAGGACCUCCUGCUGCAGGGUGUGGGAUGGUAAGUUUCGGCGGUUGGGGAUGGACUCCCGGCUUGUCCGCUUGUUGGUGGGGUAGCGGCUUACCAAGGCUUUGACGGGUAGCCGGCCUGAGAGGGUGACCGGCAACAUUGGAACUGAGAUAGGGCCCGGACUCCUACGGAAGGCAGAAGUGGGAAAUGUAGCACAAUGGGCGGAAGCCUGAUGCAGCAACGCAGGGUGCGGGAUAAGGGCCUUCGGGUUGUAACCCGUUUUCGCCUGUGACGAAGCGUUAGUGACGGUAAUGGGUAAAGAAGCACCGGCUAACUACGUG